rnacentral:rRNA from 1 species
UACGUAGGUGGCAAGCGUUGUCCGGAAUUAUUGGGCGUAAAGCGCGCGCAGGCGGCCUUUUAAGUCUGAUGUGAAAUCUUGCGGCUCAACCGCAAGCGGCCAUUGGAAACUGGGAGGCUUGAGUACAGAAGAGGAGAGUGGAAUUCCACGUGUAGCGGUGAAAUGCGUAGAUAUGUGGAGGAACACCAGUGGCGAAGGCGACUCUCUGGUCUGUAACUGACGCUGAGGUGCGAGAGCGUGGGGAGCGAACCGG